UAAUACGUAGGGGCCAAGCGUUGUCCGGAAUUAUUGGGCGUAAAGAGCUCGUAGGCGGUUCGGUAAGUUUACUGUGAAAUCUCCACGCUCAACGUGGAGAGGUCAGUGAAUACUGCCGUGACUAGAGUCCGGUAGAGGAGUGUGGAAUUCCCGGUGUAGCGGUGAAAUGCGCAGAGAUCGGGAGGAACACCCGUAGCGAAGGCGGCACUCUGGGCCGUGACUGACGCUGAGGAGCGAAAGCGUGGGGAGCAAACAGGAUUAGAUACCCUGGUAGUCCACGCCGUAAACGUUGGGCACUAGGUGUGGGACUCUAUCGACGGGUUCCGUGCCGUAGCUAACGCAUUAAGUGCCCCGCCUGGGGAGUACGGCCGCAAGGCUA
rnacentral:rRNA from 1 species